CCCGCCGGCGACCGGCGCACGGGUGAGUAACACGUAUGAAACCUGCCCGUAGCAGGGGGAUAAGCGGAGAAAUUCCGUCUAAUACCGCGUAACAACCCAUGGAGGCAUCUCUGUGGGUUUAAAGGAAGCGAUUCCGGCUACGGAUGGUCAUGCGUCGCAUUAGCUUGUUGGCGGGGUAACGGCCCACCAAGGCGACGAUGCGUAGGGGUUCUGAGAGGAAGGUCCCCCACACUGGUACUGAGACACGGACCAGACUCCUACGGAAGGCAGCAG
rnacentral:rRNA from 1 species